AUUGAACGCUGGCGGCAGGCCUAACACAUGCAAGUCGAGCGAGCGGCGGACGGGUGAGUAAUGUCUGGGCAACUGCCUGAUGGAGGGGGAUAACUACUGGAAACGGUAGCUAAUACCGCAUACCAUCAGAUGUGCCCAGAUGGGUUUAGCUAGUCGGUGGUGUAACGGCUCACCUAGGCGACGAUCCCUAGCUGGUCUGAGAGGAUGACCAGCCACACUGGAACUGAGACACGGUCCAGACUCCUAUGGGAGGCAGAAGUGGGGAAUAUUGCACAAUGGGCGCAAGCCUGAUGCAGCCAUGCCGCGUGUGUGAAGAAGGCCUUCGGGUUGUAAAGCACUUUCAGCGGGGAGGAGUUACACGCAGAAGAAGCACGGGCUAACACCGUGCCAGCAGCCGCGGAAAUUC
rnacentral:rRNA from 1 species